UUUAAUAAACAGAACAUUACAUAGUGUAAAAAUAACAAAAUAGAAUUGUAUUUGGUCUCUCUUUUUAUGUAAUGUUUACCUAAAAUUGUGUAACAGGGACAUAAAUGAGGACUUUGCCUCCUCAUUUUGAAACACCACCGCACACUACUGGUGUGUAGGUGGAGCCUGGUGAUUCUGUGACACUCAGAAUAAAAAGAAAACUACUGAACGAACUAAAAAUAGCAGUCAGAAUGUAAAAUUAUCAUUCUGUAACUCUAGUGUAUAUUAGUUUGUCUGUUGUAAAUCCUGCCCACUUCUUUGCAUUGUCACACAUGCUUCAGUGCUCUGAGAGUGUUUAUAGUGCUGUGAGUUUAACACUUCAUGACUGACACUGUCUAUCAAUAUAACAGACACAGCUAAAAUGACAUUCAUCCUCUUCUUCCUGAUCUUAGGAAUGCAUUUUGAAGAUUCUACAGGACAGGUGACUGUAAUUCAGACUCCCACAGAGAAACAUGUUCAGAACGGACACACAGUCACUCUGACCUGUAAGACCAGCAGCUCCAUUGGACGUCAGUCAGACGGUGCCUGUAAGUCGUGUGUCUUCUGGUACCUUCAGAAACCUGGAGAA